GAUGAACGCUGGCGGCGUGCCUAACACAUGCAAGUCGAGCGUGAUUAAAUGAAUUGGAGAGCUUGCUCAAAGAGACAUUUAUGAAAGCGGCGCACGGGUGAGUAACACGUACACAACUUGCCCCUAACUGGGGAAUAGCCCUGGGAAACUGGGAUUAAUACCCCAUAAUAUUGACGCAUCUCAUGAAAUGUCAAUUAAAGUUCCGGCGGUUAGGGAUAGGUGUGCGUCCCAUUAGCUUGUUGGUGAGGUAACGGCUCACCAAGGCGACGAUGGGUAGGGGGCGUGAGAGCGUGAUCCCCCACACGGGUACUGAGACACGGACCCGACUCCUACGGGAGGCAGCAGUAAGGAAUAUUGGACAAUGGGCGCAAGCCUGAUCCAGCCAUCCCGCGUGCAGGAAGAAGGCCCUAUGGGUCGUAAACUGCUUUUGUCAGGGAAGAAACCUCUCGAUUUACUCGAGA
rnacentral:rRNA from 1 species